UUUCAAAAUAAAAGAUAUUUACUGCACUGUAUUCAGGUGCGGAGUCAAAACGACUAGCCGCUUAUUUCUGAAAAUGCCAGUGGGAAUGUUACCCGAUUGUGACGUCAUAGUUGGGAUAAUUUAUAUAAUGAGGACCAUCUGCUUCUCUGACAAUGGCUGAGCGGAAAGGCUAACCAAAGUUAAAGAAUCACAUUUGACACACUACUGAAGCACUGGGACUACUUGAUUUCUCCAUCAGGCAUGUGACUUAUCUGCCCAUCAGCAUGAACAGAUUUUUUUUUUAAGAAAAAAAAGAUUGGAUGCCUCAAUGGCCACCAAAACUGAAGUCACCAUACGCCAUCUUGAUACUCCCAAAACAUCCGCGCCGACCUGGGCAGCGACAGUGAUUAACUGCAUUAAUUGGUAGUUUCGUGGCUGUGAGAAAACAUUCCACAGGAAGCAGACGGAAGUGUCUCCGGUGGCGACGUCAGGCGCUUGCCGCAGCAGGUCCGAGGCGGGCAGGCCCACUGGAGCCUGUUUUGGGCUCGCGCAGGCUCCAGCCCGAGCGCCGCAGCAGCCACCGCGGCGUCAGGCUGACUGGAACCGCAGUGCCCGUAUUCCAGAUCCCUCCGCCGGCUUUCCACCUGACAAACAUGUUUUAACGUGUGUAGUUCAAGUCAUUGAACGCAUCAGUGCAUGACGUUAUUUUUAUUUAUUUUUUUAAACCAAAUACUCAACUAAAUCUAUACAAACGAGCAUUGACACAGCGACUAACUAUGAAAUAACAUAAACAAAAUGGGUUGUAUUUUAUUUGAAAAUUCUUUGGUUACCUUUUGAGUGCGGAGGGAUACACGAUGCCGCCGCCGCCGCUGGUGCUGUCUGGUCCGGUUGAUGACGCAAGCCCGGCUGGCGACGCUCAGUCUGCAAGUUUGACAUUUUCGGUUUACAGCAACUGCCGCGAAACAUCACCCCGCCGCCGCCGCCGCCAGGAGGAGGGGAAAGCGGCGUGUCCCCCAUUGUCUCGCUCAGAGAAUUCGUCUGCUGCGGGAGCGGAGUGGCCGGCGUCCGCCACGCCGCCCAGAAAGGCGGCGGUCGGCCGGCUCCGCGUCCCAACGUAGUCCGAUCGUUCGCUCGUGAAAGCAAAAUAUUAGAAACUGCACCAGUAUGACGUCUUAUAGUUAAACACUACCGUACUGCAAAAAUAUUGCCAUAUAUUUUGAACAUUUUUUCAUGUUCAGGCCCAAUUUGACCCCGUUUUGACAUUUGAGAGCAAUAAAAAAAAUGCUAUCACCCGGACUUUUUUUUUUGGUGAUGAAUAUUCCUAAAUGGUUAUUUGUAUGCAUUACCAUCAAAUUUAUAAAGGGUCCUGCAGAAAUCUUGAAAAUGUGAAACAAAAAAAGAAAUGAAAUCAUGCAAUUAGAUUGCCACCUGCAAAAAUUAUUCACUUUUCCCUCAAAUAUGAAGAAUUAACCAUCAUUUACUCAUGUCAGACAUACUUUGAACACAUUUUGAAAAUGAUCUGCAAUUCUUCA